rnacentral:rRNA from 1 species
GACGAAGGGGGGCUAGCGUUGUUCGGAAUUACUGGGCGUAAAGCGAGUGUAGGUGGUUGUCCAAGUUGGAUGUGAAAGCCUUGAGCUCAACUCAAGAAAUGCAUUCAGGACUGGAUGGCUAGAGGACCGGAGAGGAUAGUGGAAUUCCCAGUGUAGUGGUGAAAUACGUAGAGAUUGGGGAAAGAACACCAGUGGCGAAGGCGGCUAUCUGGACGGUUUCUGACACUAAGACUCGAAAAGCGUGGGGAGCAAACAGG